rnacentral:rRNA from 1 species
UGGGGAAUUUUGGACAAUGGGCGAAAGCCUGAUCCAGCAAUGCCGCGUGUGUGAAGAAGGCCUUCGGGUUGUAAAGCACUUUUGUCCGGAAAGAAAUCCUUGGCUCUAAUACAGUCGGGGGAUGACGGUACCGGAAGAAUAAGCACUGGCUAACUACGUGCCAGCAGCCGCGGUAAUACGUAGGGUGCAAGCGUUAAUCGGAAUUACUGGGCGUAAAGCGUGCGCAGGCGGUUUUGCUAAGACCGAUGUGAAAUCCCCGGGCUCAACCUGGGAACUGCAUUGGUGACUGGCAGGCUAGAGUAUGGCAGAGGGGGGUAGAAUUCCACGUGUAGCAGUGAAAUGCGUAGAGAUGUGGAGGAAUACCGAUGGCGAAGGCAGCCCCCUGGGCCAAUACUGACGCUCAUGCACGAAAGCGUGGGGAGCAAAACAGGAUUAGAUACCCUGGUAGUCCACGCCCUAAACGAUGUCAACUAGUUGUUGGGGGAUUCAUUUUCCUUAGUAACGUAGCUAACGCGUGAAG